GGCCUAACACAUGCAAGUCGAACGGUAACAGGAAGCAGCUUGCUGCUUCGCUGACGAGUGGCGGACGGGUGAGUAAUGUCUGGGAAACUGCCUGAUGGAGGGGGAUAACUACUGGAAACGGUGGCUAAUACCGCAUAACGUCGCAAGACCAAAGAGGGGGACCUUCGGGCCUCUUGCCAUCAGAUGUGCCCAGAUGGGAUUAGCUUGUUGGUGAGGUAACGGCUCACCAAGGCGACGAUCCCUAGCUGGUCUGAGAGGAUGACCAGCCACACUGGAACUGAGACACGGUCCAGACUCCUACGGGAGGCAGCAGUGGGGAAUAUUGCACAAUGGGCGCAAGCCUGAUGCAGCCAUGCCGCGUGUAUGAAGAAGGCCUUCGGGUUGUAAAGUACUU
rnacentral:rRNA from 1 species